AGGGUCACCUCUUGGAAUAAACCAGGCCUGCUGGUUAGCUACACGAGGAAAUCUUCCUCCUUCCCCUGAGCUGGACUCAACUCUUGCAUAUGAAGCCACACACUAUUGUGGCUCUUUCAAAAUGACCCUGAGAGGAAAACUGCUUGCUCCACAAAUGAGUGAGGAUGGUGAAAGAAAAUGGCUGCACAAGGCAUACGGUGGUUAUGUGGCAUAGCCAGGGUUUGAGCCCAGUCCGUGUGACUCCCAAGGUCAAUGCCUUACCAACCUUACAAGGAAGGAAAGUCUCCCACCAAGGAGGCUCCAGUUUCUUAAGAGCACCCAAGCCUCUCAACUCACUGGACAAGAAUCGACCUGACAUGCUGGAAAGCAUCGCAGGGCUGGCCCAGGGCUGAUGGAGCCCUUGAGUGGCCCCACGGUUGGUCCUUGACCCCUCCUGGUGGCCCUGGAGUUCAAGCUGCCACUGUACAGAUGAGGAAACCAACAUCCACAGAGGGACAGGCCCUGUCCAGAGAACAGCAGAGGGGGAUGCAACACGGCUCCAGCUCCCAGACUCACACAGGGCAGCAACGCAAGGUGACCACACCUGCCUGGCAGAGUGGGCAAGGCUGGCCUUGAAGUGGGAGCCCUGAGUUAACAAAGCUGAGGAUCCCGAGUUUCAGACCGAUAUGAGCAGACGUCUGGUCGUCUCAGAAAUGGCAGCUCUGCGCUUCUGGUUGCUCGUGUGAAAACGUGCCCAGCGCAGUGCCUGAUGUAUGGAGGACCUCAACACAUGUUUGUGGACGGAACAAAUGGAGCCAUGGAUGGGCGCGGCAUUGUCUCUGCCCUCAGGGAGCUCUGGUCUGGGUCUGGGGUGUAUACAUCCACAAAGGCCCAUGGAAGUACGCACCCACACUGUGGAGUAGGGCUAGCCCUGAGGCUGGCUAGGAGUUGGAGGUUCCAGACAACCCAGGGGGAGGAGCCUUCCAAGCCUCUCCCAGGGACUCAGGUUUCCCUGGCAGGGCACAGUUAGAAUGGCAGCAGAGAAGGCAGGUGGCAGAGUGGGGAGGUCACUCUGUGUGGGACCACCAGUCAGGCCCAUCCCCUGAGCUCGGCUCCCAGCAGGGACAGCGGCUGCUGAGUCUCUUCCCCUUGUCCUUCCCCUCUUUCUGGCCCCAAGCACUUCUGGGGAAGGGAGGAUGGACCCAGGGAGAAAGGGAGGAAGGAAUACAUCAAGCAAGCAAACAAUUUUUAAAACUCAAGUUCAUGCUUGCUAAGCAGUUUGGUCCUUUCUGACUAACAAAGAGGCUUUGCCAUCAACUGGGUCAAGUUAUUCUUCAUGAAAACCCUACGAGGCAGGUCAAUAUUUUUACAUUCAAUUUUAUGGAUGAAGAAACAGAGGUUUUUGAUGUCUCCAAGGUCACAAAGCAAAUCGGGUGAGACUUGGGACAAUGAAUGCGGGGACUGUAAGGCAGGCCUGACAUCCCACGGCCCGGUCUCUGGAUCAGAUGAGCAGAAACUGUGCCUGGGUGGCUGGCGCUAGGGGCAGAGUGGCCCUGCCCUGCCAGGCUGCUCCAGGUCCGGAGGACCAACGAUGUGGGUGCCCACGUGGUGGGAACCAGAAAGAUGGCUCUAGGGAAGGGGCAGAGGGAAGACUCCACUGUGAGAGGGCCCUGCUCAGGUGUGGAAGGAAGCUGAGGGGAGGCCAGCCUGCCUGGGACUCGGGAGCGGUGGGGGCAGGGACAGGGACAGGGGCGGCCCCUUCCUCCCCCUGCCCAGGCCAUUGCGGCUGCCCUGGCUAUGGUCAGCAACAGCCUCCUCCUGGCCAAGCACAGAGGACAGCUUCAGACCUGACUUCUCAACACCUUUGCUCCUCCCUUAGCUGCCUUUGUGUCUGUGUCUGGGCAGAUACCCCUUCUGGUCUUCUGGGCAUCUGAAGUGUAGUUUUCCAGCCUCUGAGGACUCUGUAGGGAACUGUACUCAGAAGGAUCUGAUUUCUGUUCUGGAGACUACUAAAAACCUCCAAUAGAAGUGACUCGAAGUAGAGAUCAUAAAGCAUUCAUCUCUGCUCUCCAGGACACCUUGCAUGGAAUAGUGGCACCUAACUAACAUUGGACUUCAUUGCUUCACUGCGUGAUCUACAUAGAAGUAAAGAAAAGAGACCCUCGACGUUGGUUGGAUGUCUACCUGUGACGACGCUUUACAGAGCUGGGUCCGUAUCAUUCCCAGAGCAACCUUUAGGUGGCUAACAAUGACCUCGUUUUACAGACAAGGUAACUGAGGUCCCAGGGGUUAAGACAUUUAUCCUCGGCAUCCAGAUACGCCCACCAUGAAAGCCUAAAUUCUUUCACUAUAUCAUGCCAUAAAAACCCAUCUACUCCACCCCGGAAGUCGAAACGAAAUACGAUCACUGCAUGAAGUUCCCUGGCAGCAUUCCUUCUGUGGGGUAAGAAACGGAGAGGCCCGACACCAUCAUAAUAAACUGCAAAGGAACAGCAGUGUUGAGGGUCCUCCUGGUGUUCUACGGAAUCAACAGAUGCUUCGAAGAAGUGGACAGUAGCCUGUGCCUAGCAGUCUUUCUGAUGUGCAGAGAUUCUGUAAUAAUGGCACUGGCUGUAAUGAGAUUGGACCGCUAUUAUCCAUUUUUGUUCCACUAAUGAGCCUGGAAGCUCCUGGCUGUGCCAAAGGCGAGGGUCGGGGCCUUGCAACUUCAUCAUUACUUAAUAAAAUGUAAAUCGGAGAGGAAAAGAAACACGCAGGGUUUGACACUAAUAAGCUUACAGCAGGAUCAGUUACUUCAAUUCAAAGAGGUUCAGACCGGAGGGGGAGAAAUGAAAUAAGCUUUUAAAGACCAGUCUAGGUUUGGCUCCAUCAGACCUAACCAGUUUUGUUUAAUAAAGUUUCAAUUUGGCUGCUCUCAUUUCUCCCUCUUCUUCAAGCUAGGCCGGGUACAGAUAAGGCAUCCCCCCACCCCGCCUAAUGCAUUAAUUGCAUCUCACACAAAAAGCCAAACUCGGGACUCUGCACAAGGAGAGAGCAGCGUGGGCCCCUGGGGGCUGCCGGCACCUCCCCUGCCUGGUGCAGAUCCUGGCUCCCCUGGCACCACCCGCGAGAGGAGAAUGUCACAUGGGUCCUGCGGACUCAGUUCUCACCCGCUUAUUUUUCAGAGCAGCGAAAACCAUUCAGAAAGGUACGGGGAAUCAAAUGACAUCGUGACCACCUGUGUUCCCAUCCCCUGGAACUGACCACUCAGAUCUCGUCAUUCCAUCCCGACAUCGAACUGAAGACCUCUAGUCCCACUUCCCUCCUCAGCUCCGUGUAGCAAUUACUUCCAUGAAUUCUGCAUGUGUCCUUCUAUUUUAUAUACUUUGACCUGUGUGUGUAUCCCUGAAUAGUAUAUACGUUUAUUAGUUCAUACAAAUGGUGCCAUAUUAUUGCUUGACUCC